rnacentral:rRNA from 1 species
UACGUAGGGCGCAAGCGUUGUCCGGAAUUAUUGGGCGUAAAGAGCUCGUAGGUGGUUUGUUACGUCUGCUGUGAAAACCUAGGGCUUAACCCUGGGCCUGCAGUGGAUACGGGCAGACUAGAGGUAGGUAGGGGAGAAUGGAAUUCCCGGUGUAGCGGUGAAAUGCGCAGAUAUCAGGAGGAACACCUGUGGUGUAGACGGCUUUCUGGACCAUAGCUGACGCUGAGACACGAAAGCGUGGGUAGCAAACAGG